rnacentral:rRNA from 1 species
CAGCAGCCGCGGGAAUACGUAGGGGGCAAGCGUUAUCCGGAAUAACUGGGCGUAAAGGGUGCGCAGGUGGUUUAACAAGUUAGUGGUGAAAGGCAUAGGCUCAACCAAUGUAAGCCAUUAAAACUGUUUAACUUGAGUGCAGGAGAGGAAAGUGGAAUUCCUAGUGUAGCGGUGAAAUGCGUAGAGAUGUGGAGGAACACCGAUGGCGAAGGCAGCCCCCUGGGCCAAUACUGACGCUCAUGCACGAAAGCGUGGGGAGCAAACAGGAUUAGAUACCCCUGUAGUCCCUGUCUCUUAUACA